UACGGAGGGUGCGAGCGUUAAUCGGAAUUACUGGGCGUAAAGGGUGCGUAGGUUGUUGAAUAAGUUAUCUGUGAAAUUCCUGGGCUCAACCUGGGCGUGUCGGAUGAUACUGUUUGACUAGAGUAUGGGAGGAGGGUAGUGGAAUUUCCGGUGUAGCGGUGAAAUGCGUAGAGAUCGGAAGGAACACCGGUGGCGAAGGCGGCUACCUGGCCUGAUACUGACACUGAGGCACGGAAAGCGUGGGGAGCCAAACAGGG
rnacentral:rRNA from 1 species